rnacentral:rRNA from 1 species
GGGGAAUAUUGCGCAAUGGGGGAAACCCUGACGCAGCGACGCCGCGUGAGCGAAGAAGGCCUUCGGGUUGUAAAGCUCUGUUGUAAGGGACGAAUGUCGCGAUCAAUAAUACGGAUUGCGAAUGACGGUACCUUACCAGCAAGCCCCGGCUAACUACGUGCCAGCAGCCGCGGUAAGACGUAGGGGGCGAGCGUUGUCCGGAAUUACUGGGCGUAAAGAGCACGUAGGCGGGACCUUAAGUCAGGUGUGAAAGACCGCGGCUCAACCGCGGGGUUGCACCUGAAACUGGGGUUCUUGAGGGCAGGAGAGGAAAGCAGAAUUCCUGGUGUAGCGGUGAAAUGCGUAGAAAUCAGGAGGAAUACCAGUGGCGAAGGCGGCUUUCUGGACUGACCCUGACGCUGAGGUGCGAAAGCGUGGGGAGCAAAC